GACGAACGCCGGCGGCGUGCCUAACACAUGCAAGUCAACUUGACUGAAGGAGCAAUCUGACAGUAGAGUGGCGCAAGGGUGCGUAACGCGUAAGUAACUUGCCCAAGGUAAGGAAUAACGUCGAGAAAUCGGCGCUAAUACCACAUAAUGCAGCGGAUCCGCAUGGAUAUGUUGUUAAAGGUUUACCGCCUUGGGAUAGGCUUGCGUCUGAUUAGUUAGUUGGUGUGGUAACGGCACACCAAGGCUACGAUCAGUAACUGGUCUGAGAGGAUGAUCAGUCACACUGGAACUGAGACACGGUCCAGACUCCUACGGGAGGCAGCAGUGAGGAAUAUUGGGCAAUGCUCGAAAGAGUGACCCAGCAACGCCGCGCGGAGGAUGAAGGUAUUCUAUAUCGUAAACUCCUGUGAGAGCAGACGAAAGACAGAUUAUUAAUCUGGAUGACUGUAUGCUCAGAGGAAGCCCGGCUAACUACGU
rnacentral:rRNA from 1 species